rnacentral:rRNA from 1 species
AUUGAACGCUGGCGGCAGGCCUAACACAUGCAAGUCGAGCGGUAGAGAGGUGCUUGCAUCUCUUGAGAGCGGCGGACGGGUGAGUAAUGCCUAGGAAUCUGCCUAGUGGUGGGGGAUAACGUUCGGAAACGGACGCUAAUACCGCAUACGUCCUACGGGAGAAAGCGGGGGGAUCUUCGGACCUCGCGCCAUUAGAUGAGCCUAGGUCGGAUUAGCUAGUUGGUGAGGUAAUGGCUCACCAAGGCGACGAUCCGUAACUGGUCUGAGAGGAUGAUCAGUCACACUGGAACUGAGACACGGUCCAGACUCCUACGGGAGGCAGCAGUGGGGAAUAUUGGACAAUGGGCGAAAGCCUGAUCCAGCCAUGCCGCGUGUGUGAAGAAGGUCUUCGGAUUGUAAAGCACUUAGUUGGAGGAAGGGUAGUAACCUAAUACGUUGCU